rnacentral:lncRNA from 1 species
GCUGUUCCUAAGCUCACAAAAUCUGAUGGCUUUAUAAACAGGAGUUUGCCUGCACAAGCUCUUUUUUUCUUUCUGGCCGCUGUCCACGUAAGAUGUGACUUGCUCCUCUUUGCCUUCUGCCAUGAUUGUGAAGCUUCCUAAGCCACGUGGAACUUUCUGGAGGCUGGAAGUCCAAGAUCAAGGUGCUAUCAGGGUUGGUUUCGGCUGUGGCCUCUCUUCCUGGCUUGUAGACAGCUAUCUUCUCGCAGUGUCCUCACGUGGCCUCUUUGUGUGAAGCAACAGCUCCAUAUGUUGAUGUGAACUGUGACUCCAGGAGAACGGUGGAAAAGUGUCUUGAUCCAGGAAGGAAGGGGUAUAGAGAAAAUAUGAGUCUCACCACACUAGAAGCAACAUAUGCAAAAUCCAUCAAACACACCAUAAAAUCAAUGUGGGAGUAACAACACCUUGGCCUACUGCUCCCUGAAAAGUUUUUCUCUCGUCAAGUGAUGACAGGCGUACAUUUGUAAAUAAAUUACCAAGUUGCUUUUGAUUUGAUGGAGAAGGAAGAAAAGGAUUGUCUCCUGGAAGUAUUUUUAUUGUCUUAAUAGGUAGGAUAAUAUCUCUGUUCAGCAAACUGAGAUCUUUUGAGAAUCUUAACAAAUGUAUACCCCUCCCUCUCACCUUUUCCUCUCUGGUGUAUUUCAUAGGCAGCUUUGCUAACUGACUGCACUACUACAAAUAGAUUCUGUCACUUUAGAAAUAGGAUUUUUCCUUUUAUAGGCAGAUUGAUGGACUAAGUGUCAAGGUUUUAGAACAGUAGCAUGACUGGGGCAGACACUAUAAACCAUAAAUCCAGUAUUGACAAAUGUUCUAGCCAAUCCAGAUUUUCUAUUUGUUAAAUUGCCUUUAUGAAGUCAUACUUGUGCAGCACAGAAUAUGGAAAAUAAUUGACAAGUUCUGAGAAGCCAGUUACUGAGCUCAUAGUUUAAUAAAGAAAAUGUUAAUGAACACUUGAGUAUUAUAAAUUGUUAUAAGAAGAUUCUCUCUUCAUUGUUUGCCAAAGUAUGCUAAUAAUUCUUGACUGACUAAUAAGCAGAGGUCAUUCUAGAUCUACAGAUUUUGAAAGUUGGAACUUUUUAUUUGUACCUUUUGUUUCACUUGUCAAAGUGAGCUAGUAACAUAGAAUAAACUAUAAAAAAU